rnacentral:rRNA from 1 species
AUUGAACGCUGGCGGAAUGCUUUACACAUGCAAGUCGAACGGCAGCACGGACUUCGGUCUGGUGGCGAGUGGCGAACGGGUGAGUAAUGCAUCGGAACGUGCCCAAUCGUGGGGGAUAACGUAGCGAAAGUUACGCUAAUACCACAUACGAUCUAAGGAUGAAAGCGGGGGAUCGCAAGACCUUGCGCGAAUGGAGCGGCCGAUGUUAGAUUAGGUAGUUGGUGGGGUAAAGGCUCACCAAGCCGACGAUCUAUAGCUGGUCUGAGAGGAUGAUCAGCCACACUGGGACUGAGACACGGCCCAGACUCCUACGGGAGGCAGCAGUGGGGAAUUUUGGACAAUGGGCGCAAGCCUGAUCCAGCCAUUCCGCGUGCAGGAUGAAGGCCCUCGGGUUGUAAACUGCUUUUGUACAGAACGAAAAGCUCUGGGUUAAUACCCUGGGGUCAUGACGGUACUGUAAGAAUAAGCACCGGCUAACUACGUGCCAGCCGCCGCCGUAAAAC